CCUACGGGGUGCAGCAGUAGGGAAUUUUCGUCAAUGGGCGCAAGCCUGAACGAGCAAUGCCGCGUGAACGAGGAAGGUCUUCGGAUCGUAAAGUUCUGUUGAAGGGGAAAAAGAGCGGAGAGAGGAAAUGAACUCCGAUUGAUAUUACCCUUCGAGGAAGUCACGGCUAACUACGUGCCAGCAGCCGCGGUAAUACAUAGGUGGCGGGCGUUAUCCGGAAUGAUUGGGCGUAAAGGGUGCGUAGGCGGCCUGCUAAGUCUGGAGUGAAAGGUACCGGCUCAACCGGUACAGGUUCUGGAAACUGGCGGGCUAGAGAGCAGGAGAGGGCGGUGGAACUCCAUGUGUAGCGGUAAAAUGCGUAGAUAUAUGGAAGAACACCAGUGGCGAAGGCGGCCGCCUGGCCUGUUACUGACGCUGAGGCACGAAAGCGUGGGGAGCAAAUAGGAUUAGAUACCCUAGUAGUC
rnacentral:rRNA from 1 species